rnacentral:rRNA from 1 species
GAUGGUCCCCCACACUGGUACUGAGACACGGACCAGACUCCUACGGGAGGCAGCAGUGAGGAAUAUCGGUCAAUGGACGCAAGUCUGAACCAGCCAUGCCGCGUGCAGGAUUGAAUGCCCUAUGUGUUGUAAACUGCUAUUCUGUACCAAGAAACGUACUUACGUGUAAGUAUUUGACGGGUGUACAGGAAUAAGCAUCGGGCUAACUCCGUGCCACGAACCCGCGGUAAUACGGAGGAUGCAGGCGUAAUCCGGAUUCAUUAGGUUUAAAGGGUGCGCAGGCGGAAUAAUAAGUCAGUGGUGAAAUCUUGCCGCUUAACGGUGAACCUGCCAUUGAAACCUGUAAUUCUUGAGUGUAGUCGAGGUAGGCGGAAUGUGUAGUGUAGCGGUGAAAUGCUUAGAUAUUACACAGAACACCUAUUGCGAAGGCAGCUUACUAAACUACUACUGACGUUGAGGCACGAAAGCGUGGGGAGCGAACAGGAUUAGAUACCCUGGUAGUCCACGCUGUAAACUAUGAUCACUCGUUAUUCGCGAUACAUUGUGAGCGACCAAGCGAAAGCAUUAAGUGAUCCACCUGAGGAUUACGUCGGCAACGAUGAAACUCAAAGGAAUUGACGGGGGCCCGCACAAGCGGAGGAACAUGUGGUUUAAUUCGAUGAUACGCGAGGAACCUUACCUGGGCUUAAAUGCAGAACGAUAUAUCGGGAAACUGGUAUUCCCUUCGGGGCGGACUGCAAGGUGCUGCAUGGUUGUCGUCAGCUCGUGCCGUGAGGUGUCGGGUUAAGUCCCAUAACGAGCGCAACCCUUAUUGUUAGUUGCCAGCGGGUAAUGCCGGGGACUCUAACGGAACUGCCAUCGUAAGGUGGAGGAAGGUGGGGAUGACGUCAAAUCAGCACGGCCCUUAUGUCCAGGGCUACACACGUGUUACAAUGGCCAGUACAAAGGGCAGCUACCUGGAGACAGGAUGCUAAUCUCGAAAACUGGUCUCAGUUCGGAUCGUAGUCUGCAAUUCGACUACGCGAAGUUGGAUUCGCUAGUAAUCGCGCAUCAGCCAUGGCGCGGUGAAUACGUUCCCGGGCCUUGUACACACCGCCCGUCAAGCCAUGGAAGCCGGGAGUGCCUGAAGUCCGUAACCGUAAGGAGCGG